rnacentral:rRNA from 1 species
GACGAACGCUGGCGGCGUGCUUAACACAUGCAAGUCGAACGCUGAAGCUCAGCUUGCUGGGUGGAUGAGUGGCGAACGGGUGAGUAACACGUGAGUAACCUGCCCUCUUCUUUGGGAUAACGCCCGGAAACGGGUGCUAAUACUGGAUAUUCACUGAUUCUCGCAUGGGGGUUGGUGGAAAGGUUUUUUCUGGUGGGGGAUGGGCUCGCGGCCUAUCAGCUUGUUGGUGGGGUGAUGGCCUACCAAGGCUUUGACGGGUAGCCGGCCUGAGAGGGUGACCGGUCACAUUGGGACUGAGAUACGGCCCAGACUCCUACGGGAGGCAGCAGUGGGGAAUAUAGCACAAUGGGCGGAAGCCUGAUGCAGCGACGCCGCGUGAGGGAUGGAGGCCUUCGGGUUGUAAACCUCUUUCGCUCAUGGUCAAGCCGCAGCUUUGGGUUGUGGUGAGGGUAGUGGGUAAAGAAGCGCCGGCUAACUACGUG